UUGCCGAAUCUUCCAUUACCGAAUUAUGUCGAGCAAAAUCGGCGACACCAAGUCAUGUAAGUAGGUGUGUGCAUCAUGGAAACGUUUUUGUUAGUUGCAACUUCUGGACACUCUUAAUUCCGUAGGACAUUAGGGUGUAGAUUGUAAAUACCGGUCUUUCCAGAUCGUCGUCAGCAGCGGAAUCAUCGAGAAUAAAAAUAUCUCGAGAUGUAUGUAUAGAUCUUUCCUCUCCCUUUGUUUUCCUCCAGCGUCGCACCCGGUAUUGGACAUCUGGCUUGUCAAUGUCAAGUGGCAAGCGCGCCAGCCAGGCAGACGGUUUUGCAACUCUAUCUGCAAUUAUAUUCCAAAGACCCAAAUACCCUUGCUUGCGCGGGUGAGUGUCUGGGUGAGCCGCCGAUGCAAUACCGGCAGGCGCCGCUUUACCAGCGCCGAAGCCACCAGGAGGACACCACCCGGUUUACGGAAAAAACUACCACUCUGUUACUAAAUACUUGUCACGACAAGGAGGCAGCACAAAAGUAACCGAAAAACGCUCUGCGCUGCGCACAGCACAGCUCGCGGCGCACCCUGUUCAUCGUCAGAACCCGAGCCCCGUGGCCUGGUAAGAUCCAGUCCAUGUAAGCUUAGCGAGGCAGCCGUGGCCCAUUCAGCUACAGAUUUGGGCCGGGGUAACUCGUCCCUGUCUUAACAUUCAUUGGUUAAUCGACCAAUGACGGGCCCAUCGGCCCAUGUAUGAGCUUGCUCAGGCAACAGAUUCAGGGCCCAAGAUCCCCCAGACAUGGAGAUCUACCUGCCCUUGUCCUCACCUAGACAUCAAGCGGUUCUCUACCACCAACUGGUGGUGGUGAGAAACUAAUUUCAAAAGAGCGGCCUUCACGUGGCCAUGAAAUGAUCUGCAUGACCACAACACUAUGCUCCAAUCAUGCUCCAGUCUGGAACAAAAGAACGACUGCAGCCUCCAGAUGUGUGUACAGAAAAAGUUGCAGGGCUUCGAUUGUUAUUGUUGCGUCGAGGGAUGGAGAAGGAAUGGAUGGGCCGCCUUUCCCAAAGAGACCACUCCAUUUGGAACUUGGAAGCUGGACCGUCGAUCGACCCCUGCAAGAAUGGGAAGGCGUGGAAAGCAGCCUAGUUAGGUAAACAUACAUGCUUUGGGCUACUUGGAGCUUUUGGUGAGCUGUGUGACAAGGAGGAACCUUUUGGUCGUGGGGGGGAAGAACACAACAACAAUGACAAUUGAAACAAGUGAUGGGAAGUCCCGUGGUGUUGACUGCUGCAAAUAAAGAUGGACUUUAGCUUUUGACUCUAGCUGCUUUUUCCUGCACUUUGCUGCAACCGACCAUGGGUUGUGAGUUGUGACCUCUGAAUACCAGGCGUCCAAGCACCAGUCCGGUGCAUCUUAAUUAUGGGAUGAAAUGUACGAGGCAGGUGCUUCUUUUGAUCCAUAACAAGUGUCGGAGAUUUAGUACAAAGUUGUGGUCUAAUAAUAUUUUUUCCGCUUCUAAAA